rnacentral:rRNA from 1 species
UGGGGAAUUUUGGACAAUGGGCGAAAGCCUGAUCCGGCCAUGCCGCGUGAGUGAAGAAGGCCUUCGGGUUGUAAAGCUCUUUCGCAAUGGAAGAAAACUUAGCUAAUAACACUAGUUGAGGAUGACGGUACCUUGAUAAGAAGCACCGGCUAACUACGUGCCAGCAGCCGCGGUAAUACGUAGGGUGCGAGCGUUAAUCGGAAUUACUGGGCGUAAAGCGUGCGCAGGCGGUUCGAUAAGUCUGAUGUGAAAUCCCCGGGCUCAACCUGGGAACUGCGUUGGAAACUGUCGAGCUAGAGUGUAGAAGAGGGGGGUAGAAUUCCACGUGUAGCAGUGAAAUGCGUAGAGAUGUGGAGGAAUACCGAUGGCGAAGGCAGCCCCCUGGGCUAACACUGACGCCCAUGCACGAAAGCGUGGGGAGCAAACAGG